rnacentral:rRNA from 1 species
UACCAGACUCCUACGGGAGGCAGCAGUGGGGAAUAUUGCACAAUGGGGGAAACCCUGAUGCAGCGACGCCGCGUGAGUGAAGAAGUAUUUCGGUAUGUAAAGCUCUCUCAGCAGGGAAGAAAAUGACGGUACCUGAUUAAGAAGCCCCGGCUAACUACGUGCCAGCAGCCGCGGUAAUACGUAGGGGGCAAGCGUUAUCCGGAUUUACUGGGUGUAAAGGGAGCGUAGACGGUUACGCAAGUCUGGAGUGAAAGGCGGGGGCCCAACCCCCGGACUGCUUUGGAAACUGUAUAACUGGAGUGCAGGAGAGGUAAGUGGAAUUCCUAGUGUAGCGGUGAAAUGCGUAGAUAUUAGGAGGAACACCAGUGGCGAAGGCGGCUUACUGGACUGUAACUGACGUUGAGGCUCGAAAGCGUGGGGAGCAAACAGGAUUAGAUACCCCAGUAGC